UACGGGGGGGGCAAGCGUUGUUCGGAAUUACUGGGCGUAAAGGGCUCGUAGGCGGCCAACUAAGUCGGGUGUGAAAUCCCCAAGCUUAACUUGGGAACUGCAUCCGAUACUGGAUGGCUUGAAUCCGGGAGAGGGAUGCAGAAUUCCAGGUGUAGCGGUGAAAUGCGUAGAUAUCUGGAGGAAUACCGGUGGCGAAGGCGGCAUCCUGGACCGGCAUUGACGCUGAGGAGCGAAAGCUAGGGGAGCAAACGGG
rnacentral:rRNA from 1 species